rnacentral:rRNA from 1 species
GACGAACGCUGGCGGCGUGCUUAACACAUGCAAGUCGAACGAUGAAGCCGGAGCUUGCUCUGGUGAAUUAGUGGCGGACGGGUGAGUAACACGUGAGCAACCUGCCCUUGACUCUGGAAUAACUGCGGGAAACUGUAGCUAAUACCGGAUACGACCCUCGGAGGCAUCUCCUGGGGGUGGAAAGAAUUUCGGUCAAGGAUGGACUCGCGGCCUAUCAGCUAGUUGGUGAGGUAAAGGCUCACCAAGGCGACGACGGGUAGCCGGCCUGAGAGGGUGACCGGCCACACUGGGACUGAGACACGGCCCAGACUCCUACGGGAGGCAGCAGUGGGGAAUAUUGCACAAUGGGCGCAAGCCUGAUGCAGCAACGCCGCGUGAGGGAUGACGGCCUUCGGGUUGUAAACCUCUUUUAGCAUGGAAGAAGCGAAAGUGACGGUACCUGCAGAAAAAGCACCGGCUAACUACGUGCCAGCCGCCGCAGUAA